CGUAGGUGACCUGCGGAGGUCAUUAUUG
rnacentral:rRNA from 1 species